rnacentral:rRNA from 1 species
UGGGGAAUUUUGGACAAUGGGCGCAAGCCUGAUCCAGCAAUGCCGCGUGCAGGAUGAAGGCCUUCGGGUUGUAAACUGCUUUUGUACGGAACGAAACGGCGAACUCUAAUACAGUUUGCUAAUGACGGUACCGUAAGAAUAAGCACCGGCUAACUACGUGCCAGCAGCCGCGGUAAUACGUAGGGUGCAAGCGUUAAUCGGAAUUACUGGGCGUAAAGCGUGCGCAGGCGGUGAUGUAAGACAGAUGUGAAAUCCCCGGGCUCAACCUGGGACCUGCAUUUGUGACUGCAUCGCUAGAGUACGGUAGAGGGGGAUGGAAUUCCGCGUGUAGCAGUGAAAUGCGUAGAUAUGCGGAGGAACACCGAUGGCGAAGGCAAUCCCCUGGACCUGUACUGACGCU